UAAACCAGGAUUAGAUACCCUAUUAUAUUUAAACAAAUUGGGUAGUAUUAUUAAUAAAAACCUUUAUACUUUGGCGGCAUUUUAUCUUAUUAGAGGAAUAUGUUCAUUAAUCGAAACCACACGAUAGUUUUUACUUACUAUAAAAUUUUAUAUACCCCCGUCUAAAGAAUUUAUUUAAAAUUUUUAUUCCAAAUUAUAUUAAAAAAAGUUAGGUAAAGGUGUAGACUAUUAGUAAGAUUAAAUGUAUUACAUUAAAAAAAAUUUAAGGAUAAAACAGUUAACUGUUUAUUAAAAGAGGAUUUAUAAGUAAUUUACUUUUAAUAAAAAUUAAUGAAUAAGAAAAUAAAUGUGCACAUAUCGCCCGUCACUCUCACAUAUAAACCAGGAUUAGAUACCCUAUUAUACAUAUCGCCCGUCACUCUC
rnacentral:rRNA from 1 species